UGUGAAUAGUGAUUUAUCGAAAUUUUUACAAGAAAAUGGAAUAAAAAGGAGGUUGACUACGCCGUAUUCACCGCAGAGUAAUGGAAUUGCAGAACGGAUGAAUCGCACCUUACUGGAGAAGGCAAGAUAACAUUCGGUGCGAAAGUUCAUGUUUUGGAAAAGGAGCCAGGAAAGGAUAAGUUCGCAGCACGAAGUUCUCCCGGCAUUUUUGUGGGCUACCCGGCUGAAUCUGGUGGCUAUAGGGUGUGGAUAUCCGAGAAAAGAAAAA